GGUCAUAUGAUCUCUGACUCCGCCCACACAUAAUCACAUGGUCAUGACAUCAUCACAGGUCCUUUACCUCCAGCAGUACAGCCCGGAGCCUGACUCCUCCCACACACAGUCACAUGGUCAUGACAUCAUGAAAGGUCCUUUAGCCCACUAGUCUCCCCUCCCCCAUACUGGUAUAAUAGAGCGGUGCCGUUGGAGGGAGGUGUACAGUCACCGUCACCGUCUGUCCGGUUUCUCCGUGCUCCUAGUGACCGGCAGGAUAAAGGUUCCUACAAUAUAGGAUCUGCUCAGUGGAUAUCUUCUAUAUAAGAUCCUUCUCCUGAUUCGCCCGUCAAGGAUGAAUAGGGACGGUUACAAGAUGGCAGAGAGUAUAAUAAAUCUUACCCUAGAGAUCCUCUUCUGGCUUACUGGAGAGGACUACACAGUAGUGAAGAAGACCUUUAGUGAGCGCUGUCAGGACCCUGUGUCUGAAGGAU